UUGUUAUUGAUAAAUGCCAGCAAGAAGUUAUUGGAGGACACACUGAAGAUGAAGAUUUCGGUGUCACAAUCUACCUCUUCUUGUUCUUCGAUUUCCCAUUCUCAAUUGAAAAUUCUGAAUAUCGAGAAUAUUGAGGAUCUAGAAGUUCUGCCAGAGGAGUUGCUAACAAAUCUCAUAUCACUCCGACAACUUUAUAUUCGUUAUUGUCCACGAAUAACAAAGGUGUCUUCUGCUUUGCGGCAUCUAACUUUCCUUGAGAUUCUUGUAUUCGUGGCUUGUGAGGAGCUUGAUUUUUCUGAUUCAGAGUAUCAUAGUGAUAUGCCAUGGCAGCACCUCCUAUUUGUAAAUUUGUUCAAAUUGGCAUCACUUCCAAAGGGUCUUCAACAUGUUCUCACUCUGCGAAAACUCACGAUCUAUAAUUGUCCUAAUUUGUCAUCUUUACCGGAGUGGAUGGGAAGUCUCACUGAAUUACAAUAUUUAUGGAUUAGAGAAUGUCCUCAACUGUCAGAAAGA
rnacentral:misc_RNA from 1 species